CAGGCAAUGUUUUCCAUGAGCCUGUUCAGUGCUACCCGCAGGAUUCAUGUGCAGGACCCCUACCCUCUGACACAUACACGCACAUCUACAGGCAAUGUGGUCCAAUCCCUAACUGUCCCGGGCCAGCAGGCAGCCUCUGUUGGAGAAUCUGGGACGUGAAUCGAAGACCUGGAGCUGGACAAGGUGAUACCCCUAGUGUGACCGAGUCUGGACAAACACUUGAGGCUUUCAAAGCAUUUGACAAGCAUUCAUGAAUGCCCCUAACAGCAAACAGCGCCUUCCUGUCAAAAGGGAGAUUCUGCAUUGACGAUUGCGCUUCGCUGGAUAGCCCAGAGAGCAGGAGCCAGGACACCCAUCUCAUGGACACCACCGAGGCCAUGGACCAUGCGGCUGUGUCCACUGCAUCUGAAGCGGCUUGCAGGGAUGCCCUCGCAGUUGCUGCCCCUUCCUCCAUGAGAGCCUUAAACUCCUUUUUAUCGUGCUCCCAGAGGGAGUCCUCAAACUUGGGGAGGGAUCCCCAGAGAUUAAACUCCUAGUGCUCCAGGAGAGCCUGAUGGUUUGCUACUCUCAGCUGGAAGCUUGACGAUGAAUAAAUUUUUCUCCCGAAAGCA